rnacentral:rRNA from 1 species
GAUGAACGCUGGCGGCGUGCUUAACACAUGCAAGUCGAGCGGAAAGGCCACUUCGGUGGUACUCGAGCGGCGAACGGGUGAGUAACACGUGAGUAAUCUGCCCCUGGCUUUGGGAUAGCCACCGGAAACGGUGAUUAAUACCGGAUACGACCACUUCUCGCAUGGGAUGGUGGUGGAAAGUUUUUUCGGCCAGGGAUGUGCUCGCGGCCUAUCAGCUUGAUGGUGAGGUAAUGGCUCACCAUGGCUUCGACGGGUAGCCGGCCUGAGAGGGUGACCGGUCACACUGGGACUGAGACACGGCCCAGACUCCUACGGGAGGCAGCAGUGGGGAAUAUUGGACAAUGGGCGGAAGCCUGAUCCAGCAACGCCGCGUGAGGGAUGACGGCCUUCGGGUUGUAAACCUCUUUCAGCAGGGACGAAGCGCAAGUGACGGUACCUGCAGAAGAAGCACCGGCCAACUACGUGCCAGCCGCCGCCGUAA